AUUGAACGCUGGCGGCAGGCCUAACACAUGCAAGUCGAGCGACCGCCGGACGGGUGAGUAAUGUCUGGGAAACUGCCUGAUGGAGGGGGCUAACUACUGGAAACGGUAGCUAAUACCGCAUACCAUCAGAUGUGCCCAGAGGGGAUUAGCUAGUAGGUGGGGUAACGGCGCGCCUAGGCGACGAUCCCUAGCGGGUCUGAGAGGCUGACCAGCGACACUGGAAGGGAGACACGGUCCAGACUCCUAUGGUAGGGAGCAGUGGGGAAUAGUGCACAAGGGGAGAAAGCCUGAUGCAGCCAUGCCGCGUGUGUGAAGGGGGCCUUCGGGUUGGAGAGCACUAUCAGGGGGGAGGCGUUACCCGAAGAAUAAGCACCGGCUAACUCCGUGCCAGCAGCCGCGGUAAUAC
rnacentral:rRNA from 1 species